rnacentral:rRNA from 1 species
CCUACGGGUGGCAGCAGUGAGGAAUAUUGGUCAAUGGCCGGAAGGCUGAACCAGCCAAGCCGCGUGAAGGACGAAGGUGCCAAGCAUUGUAAACUUCUUUUGUCAAUGGACAAAAUCAGGCUCGAGAGCCUGACCGAGGGUACUUGAAGAAAAAGCAUCGGCUAACUCCGUGCAAGCAGCCGCGGUAAUACGGAGGAUGCGAGCGUUAUCCGGAUUUAUGGGGUUUAAAGGGUGCGUAGGCGGACUGUUAAGUCAGCGGUAAAAGCCCGGGGCGCAACCCCGGCGAGCCGUUGAAGCUGGCUGUCUUGAGAUGUCGAGAGGUAUGCGGAAUGCGCAGUGUAGCGGUGAAAUGCUUAGAUAUUGCGCAGAACUCCGAUUGCGAAGGCAGCAUACCGGCGGCGAUCUGACGCUGAGGCACGAAAGCGUGGGUAUCGAACAGGAUUAGAUACCCGUGUAGUC